rnacentral:rRNA from 1 species
GCCUACCAUGGUGGUAACGGGUAACGGGGUGUUAGGGCACGACACCGGAGAGGGAGCCUGAGAAACGGCUACCACAUCCAAGGAAGGCAGCAGGCGCGCAAAUUACCCAAUCCCGACACGGGGAGGUAGUGACAAUAAAUAACAAUACAGGGUUCUUUUGGAUCUUGUAAUUGGAAUGAGUACAAUUUAAAUCUCUUAACGAGGAACAAUUGGAGGGCAAGUCUGGUGCCAGCAGCCGCGGUAAUUCCAGCUCCAAUAGCGUAUAUUAAAGUUGUUGCAGUUAAAAAGCUCGUAGUUGAAUUUCGGGAUCAAGGAAUCGGUCAUGCCUUGGUAUGUACCGGUUUUAUUGGUUCUCACCUUCUAAAGAACCAUAAUGUCAUUCAUUUGAUGUUAUGGGGAAUUAGGACUGUUACCUUGAAAAAAUUAGAGUGUUUAAAGCAGGCUUACGCUUGAAUACAUUAGCAUGGAAUAAUGAAAUAGGACAUCAGAUUCUAUUUUGUUGGUUUCUAGGAUCGAUGUAAUGAUUAAUAGGGAUAGUUGGGGGCAUUAGUAUUCAAUUGUCAGUAGGUGAAAUUCUUGGAUUUAUUGAAGACUAACUACUGCGAAAGCAUUUGCCAAGGAUGUUUUCAUUAAUCAAGAACGAAAGUUAGGGGAUCGAAGACGAUCAGAUACCGUCGUAGUCUUAACCAUAAACUAUGCCGACUAGGGAUCGGAUGAUGUUAAUUUUAUAAUGACUCAUUCGGCACCUUACG